CCCAGAUGGGAAGAUCCAAACAGCCAUUAAAAGAUCUGGGAAAAAGUGAGAUUUCAUUCAAAUGAAGCUACAAUAAGGGGAGCCUUUUGGAAACUAUCCCACAGCUGGACACCCCACAGCUGCUCAGACUUGACAGUUCAGAACUUGAAGCUUCCAUGUCUGGAACAAUCUCAAUACCUUCUGAAUGUGGUACCAGUGCCGGGAUGAGCUGCUCUUCUCUAGGAACUCCAACAUCCGAGAAGCCGGCCAUGCAAUGUCAGCAGCAUGCCUGGCAGAGGCCUGUGGACUGAAGGUGGUUUAUACCAUGGGAAGACAAUAUUUAAAGCUAAGAAGAAUGGAUAUAAAGAGGCA